rnacentral:rRNA from 1 species
UACGGAGGGGGCGAGCGUUAUUCGGAAUUAUUGGGCGUAAAGGGCGCGUAGGCGGCCCUGUAAGUCAAAGGUGAAAUCCCUCGGCUCAACUGAGGAACUGCCUUUGAAACUGCAGGCUUGAGGCCGGGAGGGGGUAGCGGAAUUCCCAAUGUAGCGGUGAAAUGCGUAGAUAUUGGGGAGGAACACCAGUGGCGAAGGCGGCUACCUGGACCGGUUCUGACGCUCAUGUGCGAAAGCGUGGGGAGCAAACAGG